rnacentral:other from 1 species
ACAACCCUGGUGCGUUCGUGACCCGGACACACCCCCGGACCGAACUCGCGUCAACCGGGUCCCAAUUCGAUCGCCCGACUAGCUUCGGGCAUGUGGGACCCACCUGAACCUGCAGUGGUUCCGGGAGAUCGAGCCGGCACGGCAGCGCCGGGGCUCCC